rnacentral:lncRNA from 1 species
UUCACAUACGGGGAUUUUCUCAGCCUUCUGGAGAUCCCGCCAUUGCACUCCAGCCUGGGCAACAAGAGCGAAACUCCGUCUCCAAAAAAAAAAAAAAAAGGCCUGAUAGCACUCACCAUUGUUGUUAACUUUCUAUCUUCCCAAUCAGAUUGUGGGCUCCAGUAGGGCAGGGUCCACAUCUUGGUCUUGUUCACCACUAAAUCCUUAGUGCCUAGCACAGAGCCCACCAUAGAGAAUAGAUU